rnacentral:tRNA from 1 species
AGGGUUGUGGCUUAGUGGUAGAGCACUUGCCUUGCAAGCAUAAGCUCCUGGGUUCAAUCCUCAGCACCACAU